CCAUACAACAGCUAUUAUAUACUUGAUUCUGACAUCUCCUACGUGGAUAACUGUGGCAAUUCUAGAGCUAAUACAUGCAGCAAAGCUCCGAUUUUUGACGAGCGCAUCUAUUAGGUUAAAACCAAUCGAGCGUGUUCUCCUCUCUGAGGUGCGCGACGUUCGUCUAUUGGCGACUCUGAGUAGCGCAGCUGAUCGCAAGGUCUUGCACCGGCGACGCAUCUAUCAAGUGUCUGCCUUAUCAACUUUCGAUGGUAGUUUAUGUGCCUACCAUGGUUGUAACGGGUAACGGAGAAUAAGGGUUCGACUCCGGAGAGGGAGCCUGAGAAACGGCUACCACUUCCAAGGAAGGCAGCAGGCGCGCAAAUUACCCACUCUCGGUACGAGGAGGUAGUGACGAAAAAUAACGAGACCGUACUCAAUGAGUCCGGUUAUCGGAAUGGGUAGAAUUUAAACCCGUUAACGAGGAUCUAUGAGAGGGCAAGUCUGGUGCCAGCAGCCGCGGUAAUUCCAGCUCUCAAAGUGUAUAUCGUCAUUGCUGCGGUUAAAAAGCUCGUAGUUGGAUAUACGCCUUACGAUUCGGUGCAUCUUUUGGAUGUGAACUGAAUUCGUUGGCUCUGAUGCAUUUGGCUGGUUUUCCCUGCGUGACUUUCGUCGGUUGCGUAGGGUGACUAGCGAGUUUACUUUGAAAAAAUUAGAGUGCUCAACGCGGGCUAGCGCCUGAAUACUCGUGCAUGGAAUAAUGGAAUAGGAUCUCGGUUCUAUUUUGUUGGUUUUCUGAUCUGAGAUAAUGGUUAAGAGGGACAGACGGGGGCAUUCGUAUCGCUGCGUGAGAGGUGAAAUUCUUGGACCGUAGCGAGACGCCCUACUGCGAAAGCAUUUGCCAAGAAUGUCUUCAUUAAUCAAGAACGAAAGUCAGAGGUUCGAAGGCGAUCAGAUACCGCCCUAGUUCUGACCGUAAACGAUACCAACUAGCGUUCCGUCAGCGGUAAUUACGCCUUGACGGGCAGCUUGCCGGAAACGAAAGUUUUUCGGUUCCGGGGGAAGUAUGGUUGCAAAGCUGAAACUUAAAGAAAUUGACGGAAGGGCACCACCAGGAGUGGAGCCUGCGGCUUAAUUUGACUCAACACGGGAAAACUCACCUGGCCUAGACACCGUGAGGAUUGACAGAUUGAGAGCUCUUUCUUGAUUCGGUGGUUGGUGGUGCAUGGCCGUUCUUAGUUGGUGGAGUGAUUUGUCUGGUUGAUUCCGAUAACGAGCGAGACUCUAGCCUACUAAAUAGUCGAUGGAUAAUCGCGUCCAUAUGUACUUCUUAGAGGGACAAGCGGUGUUCAGCCGCAUGAAGCUGAGCAAUAACAGGUCUGUGAUGCCCUUAGAUGUUCAGGGCUGCACGCGCGCUACACUGGAGGAAUCAGCGUGCUUAUAUCCAUUGCCGAAAGGUAUUGGUAACCAAAUGAAAAUCCUCCGUGCUCGGGAUCGGCGAUUGCAAUUAUUCGCCGCGAACGAGGAAUUCCUAGUAAGUGUGAGUCAUCAGCUCACGCUGAUUACGUCCCUGCCCUUUGUACACACCGCCCGUCGCUGCCCGGGACUGAGCCGUUUCGAGAAAAGUGGGGACCGCUGCUUCAAAGCCGAUUCGACGGCAGAGAUGCUUUGGUGGAAAUCGCCUUGAUCGCAGUGGCUUGAACCGGGCAAAAGUCGUAACAAGGUUUCCGUAAGUGACACACGGGAAAGAGAAA
rnacentral:rRNA from 1 species